UACGGGGGGGGGUAAGCGUUGUUCGGAAUUACUGGGCGUAAAGGGCUCGUAGGCGGCCAACUAAGUCGGACGUGAAAUCCCUCAGCUUAACUGGGGAACUGCGUCCGAUACUGGAUGGCUUGGAUUUGGGAGAGGGAUGCGGAAUUCCAGGUGUAGCGGUGAAAUGCGUAGAUAUCUGGAGGAACACCGGUGGCGAAGGCGGCAUCCUGGACCGGCAUUGACGCUGAGGCGCGAAAGCUAGGGGAGCAAACGGG
rnacentral:rRNA from 1 species